AAAGAUUUAAGAUGGAUAGGGAUAGCUAGACAGGAGUACACAUAUGAAGAUCAAGGAUGGACUAUAGAAGAAAAUGAACACAAAUAUUUUCAACUCUGUCAAAGAUGUUUGAAAAACGGGAGUUGUUAUUUUUCUCAAUGUAAUAGCACGAUAAAGACCAAAGUAGAUUGUUCAAACAAAAUGACGACAGAAAUAACUCAUGCGGGAAAUGUUUCGAUGAGUAAGGAACGAACAACAUCUUUAACUAUAACAACGCAUUUCAUGGAAAACCACACAGCAACCCCAAAAACAUCAGUGCUAACAGCAGCAGAAACAAAUCCUCAAGAGACGACAUUCAAUGAAAGGACCAGUACAAUACUUCAGGAACAGACAUUUUCAGAGAGCUCAGGAAGACCGAACAAUGAGCAACAUUUGAUUGAUGACGAUGGUACUGUGAGCAGUUUGAUUCCUAUCAUUCUAGGAAUUGUGUUACCGGCAUCCGCGAUUAUAUUGCUAAUAAUAUAUA